GCAUGCGAAGGCGCAAGCCGCUGUAUAUGCACUGACGCCUGCCCGGUGCCGGAAGGUUAAGAGGAUCCGUCAGCCUUCGGGUGAAGCGGUGAAUUCAAGCCCCGGUAAACGGCGGUGGUAACUAUAACCAUCCUAAGGUAGCGAAAUUCCUUGUCGGGUAAGUUCCGACCUGCACGAAUGGCGUAACGACUUCCCCACUGUCUCGACCAGGAGCUCGGCGAAAUUGCAGUACGAGUAAAGAUGCUCGUUAAGCGCAGAAGGACGAAAAGACCCCGGGACCUUUACUAUACCUUGGUAUUGGCAUUCGGUGUGGAUUGUGUAGCAUAGGCGGGAGGCCGAGAGGCGCGGUCGCCAGAUCGCGCGGAGCCGUAAGGUGAAAUACCGCUCUGUUCGCAUUGGAUGUCUAACCUCGAACAGUCAUCCUGUUCAGGGACAGUGCCUGGCGGGUAGUUUAACUGGGGCGGUUGCCUCCCAAAGAGUAACGGAGGCGCCCAAAGGUCCGCUCAGCCCGGUUGGCAAUCGGGUGGCGAGUGCAAGUGCACAAGCGGGCUUGACUGCGAGGACGACGGUCCGAGCAGGGACGAAAGUCGGGACUAGUGAUCCGGUGCCGGUGUACGGACGCGGCAUCGCUCAACGGAUAAAAGGUACCCCGGGGAUAACAGGCUGAUCAUUCCCAAGAGUCCAUAUCGACGGGAUGGUUUGGCACCUCGAUGUCGGCUCGUCGCAUCCUGGGGCUGGAGCAGGUCCCAAGGGUUCGGCUGUUCGCCGAUUAAAGCGGCACGCGAGCUGGGUUCAGAACGUCGUGAGACAGUUUGGUCUCUAUCCUCUGCGCUCGUUGGAAUGCUGAGGAGGCCUGCCCAUAGUACGAGAGGACCUGGGUGGACGAACCUCUGGUAUGCCGGUUGUCACGCCAGUGGCACGGCCGGUUGGCUACGUUCGGAAGGGAUAACCGCUGAAAGCAUCUAAGCGGGAAGCCUGCUCCAAGAUAAGCAUUCCGUGGAACCUUCGAGUUCCUGUAGUCCCCAUGCAGAACACGUGGUCGAUAGGCCGGACGUGGAAGCCCCGCGAGGGGUGGAGCCGACCGGUACUAACGGACGAAAGGCA
rnacentral:rRNA from 1 species